rnacentral:rRNA from 1 species
GAGUUUGAUCAUGGCUCAGAUUGAACGCUGGCGGCAUGCUUUACACAUGCAAGUCGAACGGUAACAGGGAGCUUGCUCCGCUGACGAGUGGCGAACGGGUGAGUAAUGCGUCGGAACGUGCCGAGUAGUGGGGGAUAACGCAUCGAAAGGUGUGCUAAUACCGCAUACGAACUGAGGUUGAAAGUGGGGGACCUUCGGGCCUCACGCUAUUCGAGCGGCCGACGUCUGAUUAGCUAGUAGGUGAGGUAAAGGCUCACCUAGGCGACGAUCAGUAGCGGGUCUGAGAGGAUGAUCCGCCACACUGGGACUGAGACACGGCCCAGACUCCUACGGGAGGCAGCAGUGGGGAAUUUUGGACAAUGGGCGCAAGCCUGAUCCAGCCAUGCCGCGUGUCUGAAGAAGGCCUUCGGGUUGUAAAGGACUUUUGUCUGGGAGCAAAUACCCGGUGUUAAUAGCGCC